CUGAGAUACAGUCUUGCUCUGUUGCCCAGGCUGGUCUCAAACUCCUGGGCUCAAUGAUCCUCCCACCUCAGCCUCCCAAAUAGCAUGGCCCAUAACUUUUAGUGGGCAGAUACACAAUAGAAUAUUGUACACUGUGGUUGCAAUGUCUGGAACUGAAUUUGUCCACGCUCCCCUCCUGCCUCAAUUCCUCAACAAAGACAGGCUUAUUCUGAACCCUGCCAUCAUGGAGUGCCCGGGAAGGCAUUUUUCUCACAUGGUUUCCUUGCUUGCCCCAUCACAAUACCAGUGACCUUCUCACUUCGAGUAAAAGGAAUGACCCAUUUUCUAAGUUCAGGGGGCUUAGAAGUGAGCAGACAACAUCUUCUACUGGUUUACCCUUAGCUGCUCUAGGUGAUCGCUGAGCACCUCCUCACCAACACAUCACUUCAUUGCUUCCCUCUUGAACCCUGAGCCGUCGUUCCACUGGUCCUGGGCCUAAUCCUCUCCCUGUAUGGUCUACCAGGUUGCAGACUUUAAAAGAAGCAUGCCAUUUCAUCUCCAGCAUCAACGAGCCAUUUAUAGUUCUUCUCUUUCUACUUCUCCCUGCUUACACGGUGUGAAAGUCAUAACCCUAUAAAUAGCCCUGCAUGCAGAGUCUUGAGCUUUGGAAUCAGGCUCCCUCUGAGUUCAAAUCCUGGUUACUGAACUCUGAAUGCCUCAGUUUCUUCAUAUGCAAAAUGGGGAAAUCAUGGUAAGCACCGACUUGAAUCAUUCUGAGCAUUGAACGAAAUAUUGCUUACAAAGUGUUUAGAGCAAAGCUCAGCACAUGGUAAAUGUUAGCUGUUCUUAGUACAGGAACCAGAUUUUUGAGUGACAUCCUCAUGUUUUUAAGGGGGCAACGUGGCGGGGCCCACUUUCCCACUGAUGAGGCGUCCCGAUCCAGCCCUUUCCUUGCCACCUCGGGUGCUUGAAUGUUUUUAUCUGUCUCCACCUUACCACGAGCAAUUGAGCUAAUUCUACAAGCAAGAGAUAUACAAACACCAAGGGCUUCGUGACAAAGCACGAAAUAUCCUAACAGCCAAGGACAGCUGACGGUUGCAGGAGGCUCCCCAGGACGUGGAAAACCCUGUGUAAGCAGGAAGUGCUGUGACCAUUCCAGGCUGAGCCUCCUGCGCCCUAGUGUAUUUUGUUUUCCAAAGAACCUUUCAGACAAGAUGACCCUUCUGACUCCUGCCUCCUUUACUGCCCCAAUGACCUGGGUUGGGCAGUAAGACUUAGAAGGGUUUGCAGGCAUCCCCUCUUUAUUUGUUUGUUCCUUAAGCUUGGAAUCAUCUAAGUAGCAUUUUAGCAAGCCCCUAUUCUGAAACCCAAAUUGGGUCAUCCAACUCAGCAGAGCCCCGCGAGACUAAGAAACCUAGGGAAAUGGGACUGAUAAUAAACUCCAGUCC
rnacentral:lncRNA from 1 species